GUGAUGUGUGAAGUUUCAAUCUGCACCGAGAUUAAGGACAUUGACAAUUGCGGUACAAAGCUCAAGAAUACUUUCACUGCUCACCUAGGAAUUGACCUAACGUAACCGAGUCAUGAAUUGAAUUGGACAGGAGCAACUGAGAUGCCAUUAACGAAGUUUACAGGAAAGAUCAGAGUCGAACAGCAAGGUGCCUCUCGCACGAUUCUUUGGAAAAGACAGUGAGACGGUCCUGUUCGGCCCCACCAAGCUUCAAGAAGAACGGCCUGUUAGCAGCACAGGUCCGAUACGUGCACGUCGGAGCUGCUAUGAGUAAAAUCCUGUCGAGGUGUCGGUGACCCACUCGGACGAAACGAUAACGGGAUUGUCGUGCGUUCAAUCAAAGUCCAGCGAAUUCAUCGGCCCGCGAGGAAGAUCGACUGGUUUUUCUUUUUCUUUCAAGUAGGUCUUUUAAAGAAUCGACUAGCAAUGUUAGUCAUUCAAUCUGUCUUGCCUGCUUCCGAAUGACAGCAGGACUACUGUAAAUGAGAAUGCAAAUUUUCCCGGCAGGUAAGAAACUGAUUUUUAACGAUGACCUCUUGUUAUUACUUUUGUUGAAAACGAUAGUGGAUUCAAAUUUGUUUAUUUAAUAAUUAACGAGGGAAACUAUAAAGUCAACUUUUUUUUUUUUUUUUUUUUUGACAUGUUUGUGAAACGCCAUUCAAUGUUUGUCCUCAAUUGUAUAACUCUAAGGUAAUGUGCACAUCAUCUACUUACGUGAAGUCUGAUUUAAUCAUUUUACCGAUGUAUGUCAUCGUAGAUUUAAUCCAGAAUAUUUUUUUUUUUGGAACACACAUUAGAUACACCUUUUUUUCCCUUUUUUUUUUAUACGAGUAUGAGAGUUGUAUUUAUUAAAACAUGUUUUUUUUUUAACGUACAAUUUGUUUCAGAGGGCAAACAAAAAAAAAUUCAUGUUACAGAGGGUUGAAUGCUAUAAUCGAAAUGAUUAGAUUUUUAGUAUCGCUAUGGUACAGUUAACUACACUUUUGCUGUAAAUAAAAUAUUAACAACAAUCAUCCUUACUAAAUAUAUAACUUUCUUCUUUUCUUUUUUUAAAAUUCCUUGUCCAUCGUCGUCGUUGUACUAAAAAAUGAACACAACUGGAAUGGGAUCAACUAUAUUUACGCGUGUUUAGAAUUGCGACUAAUAGUUCAAGAUUCGGAUAGGAAAGGAAUGACGUAAGAGUGCAUUUCUUUGCACCAAUUGUACAGUGAAAUCGUGCCUUUUACUUAACAAAAGUGCGUCAAGUAGCUUGGUCAUUCAAUCUUUCGCUCAUUCGAAUUGCUAAUGGAUCUUUAAGGGUAAUAUUUUGUAAUUUUGUUCAUGGGAGCGCGCAUAGUUGAAUAUAGCCACUUUCAUUUAAAUGGACGGUUAGAUUCCAGAAGCCACUAUUAUGCACUUGACCAAGCGAGUAGGAAUAGUAGGUCAAGGUUUAAUGGCAGCAUUUCUAAGCAUCUAUGCUUAUUUCUGAUUCUUAUAAGCAUCUUCAAAUAAUAUUACGUUAUCAAUUAUUAAGUUAGUGAAUGAAAUGUACUUCUGGAUCCAUUGUAAUUUGGGAAUUCUGAUGUUCAGUUUUCACAACUGUGUAUCUGAUUGAAAUUUUUGCAAAAAGGGCGCGCUAAUAAUUCGAGAUGUCCAUUUUCUUUUUUUCUUCUUUUUUAAAUAUAUGCUUCCCCCACCCCCACCAUCUUGCUUCGUUCGGAGUUUAGUCAAGCGCGUUUGAUUUUGACAGUAAGAAUUAUGGUCACGUGCAUGUGACAAAUGAAGAAUUCUCAUUUACUUAUUCAAUAAUUAUCCACACGUUUGAGACGCGUAGUACGUUGACGCGAGCUAACCCGAGCUGGAAUGGGAGCAGUACAGGCGACAUAAUCUCAUCGCAACCCGUUCCAUUGGGUUGUGUCGGUAAAAAGAGCGAAAGACGAGCGAAGAAAUCUGCGGACGUUAUCUGCGGAUGUAGCAAGCAUGUCAGACGAGGGAGAAGAGAAAGAUGAGUGAUCGAAGGAGUUAGCGAAGGUUAUCGGAUAAGAAAUGUCAAUCGAGGUUAUUCCUUUUUGGAGUGGAGUUUUUUGUGCUCAAGAUUGUGGCCAGAAGUUUAUAGGAGAGGAGAAGAAGCCUGUACAGGAGUGUAUUUUGCUAAAACAAUCGCAAGAAACUCGUCGUGGACAACAAGUGGAUGUUUGCACCGAUCCUGAUUGUUUGGAGACAAGUGCGAUUGUUAGUGUAGCGUCAGUGAGAUACAGUGUGUGAAUUAGACUGUGGAACGUAUGAUAAACUGGUUAACAAACGAAAUUAAGACAAGUUUCUCUAUACGAUUGAUGUAACUAUGUAUGUUUCGUUGCCUAGGUGUGAUUUAAUCUUUUGCAUCCAAGGGCUUUUUGUGUUUCUCCUUUGUAGUACGUAUCAACAACUGUAGAAUGCUUUCUUAGCUUUGUACAACGUAAAUGCAAAGCCAUAUAUUAGCUCGGAAGUUGUACGAUUGCAAUUAAUUUAACAUUUAACGAUCAAGUUUCCUUAAGCUGUCAGAGAAUUAUAUCAUUUAUAAUUGAAAUUACAUUGAAAUAAAAUGAAACCUUGUAAACGUUAUCUACCUUGA